ensembl:lncRNA LINC01798 long intergenic non-protein coding RNA 1798
AGGCAGGGGCGUGUCUUCCCAGAAGCUCCAGCCCUUGUCAAUGUUUAUGUCCAUGCUGCAGAUAUAAAGGAUGAAGUUGUAGGGCAGGAAGUCUUAUGUAACUUGGAGCAGCUACUCAAUGGAAAUCACAAACAGAAUGAGUUUCAUCCACAUGUCAAGACACUACUACCAACAGAGCUAUUUCAGGACACCUACCUAAAUAACUAGCUGUCUCUUCCACUUAAAGCAAGGAGAGUCUUCUCUUAUCUUCAAGAAGAAUAAAAAGUGAAGCUGACAUUACUUGGAAAGAGAAUAAACAAAAUCUGUCAUGAGGACUGCAGGGAUGAAUGACACAAACCAGCCAUUUCUUUGAGAGUCAGGAAAUAUCUAGUUUAUACAAUAAGCUGAUCUACCAAUAAAAUACAAUUGGUGUUGAAA